rnacentral:rRNA from 1 species
AGAGUUUGAUCCUGGCUCAGGACGAUUGCUGGCGGCGCGCCUAACACAUGCAAGUCGAACGAGCGAGAGAGAGCUUGCUUUCUCGAGCGAGUGGCGAACGGGUGAGUAACGCGUGAGGAACCUGCCUCAAAGAGGGGGACAACAGUUGGAAACGACUGCUAAUACCGCAUAAGCCCACGGGUCGGCAUCGACCAGAGGGAAAAGGAGCAAUCCGCUUUGAGAUGGCCUCGCGUCCGAUUAGCUAGUUGGUGAGGUAACGGCCCACCAAGGCAACGAUCGGUAGCCGGACUGAGAGGUUGAACGGCCACAUUGGGACUGAGACACGGCCCAGACUCCUACGGGAGGCAGCAGUGGGGAAUAUUGCACAAUGGGGGAAACCCUGAUGCAGCGACGCCGCGUGGAGGAAGAAGGUCUUCGGAUUGUAAACUCCUGUUGUUGGGGAUGAUAAUGACGGUACCCAACAAGGAAGUGACGGCUAACUACGUGCCAGCAGCCGCGGUAAAACGUAGGUCACAAGCGUUGUCCGGAAUUACUGGGUGUAAAGGGAGCGCAGGCGGGAAGACAAGUUGGAAGUGAAAUCCAUGGGCUCAACCCAUGAACUGCUUUCAAAACUGUUUUUCUUGAGUAGUGCAGAGGUAGGCGGAAUUCCCGGUGUAGCGGUGGAAUGCGUAGAUAUCGGGAGGAACACCAGUGGCGAAGGCGGCCUACUGGGCACCAACUGACGCUGAGGCUCGAAAGUGUGGGUAGCAAACAGGAUUAGAUACCCUGGUAGUCCACACCGUAAAUGAUGAUUACUAGGUGUUGGAGGAUUGACCCCUUCAGUGCCGCAGUUAACACAAUAAGUAAUCCACCUGGGGAGUACGACCGCAAGGUUGAAACUCAAAGGAAUUGACGGGGGCCCGCACAAGCAGUGGAGUAUGUGGUUUAAUUCGACGCAACGCGAAGAACCUUACCAAGUCUUGACAUCCUGCGACGGUGCUGGAAACAGUAUUUUCCUUCGGAGCAAGGAGACAGGUGGUGCAUGGUUGUCGUCAGCUCGUGUCGUGAGAUGUUGGGUUAAGUCCCGCAACGAGCGCAACCCUUAUGGUCAGUUACUACGCAAGAGGACUCUGGCCAGACUGCCGUUGACAAAACGGAGGAAGGUGGGGAUGACGUCAAAUCAUCAUGCCCUUUAUGACUUGGGCUACACACGUACUACAAUGGCGUUAAACAAAGAGAAGCAAGACCGCGAGGUGGAGCAAAACUCAGAAACAACGUCCCAGUUCGGACUGCAGGCUGCAACUCGCCUGCACGAAGUCGGAAUUGCUAGUAAUCGUGGAUCAGCAUGCCACGGUGAAUACGUUCCCGGGCCUUGCACACACCGCCCGUCA